AUGGGGGAAACCCUGAUCCAGCCAUCCCGCGUGUAUGAUGAAGGCCUUCGGGUUAGUAAAGUACUUUAUGGCAGAGAAGAAAAGGUAUCUCCUAAUACGAGAUACUGCUGACGGUAUCUGCAGAAUAGAGCACCGGCUAACUACGUGCCAGCAGCCGCGGUAAUACGUAGNGGUGCAAGCGUUGAAUCGGAAUUACUGGGCGUAAAGCGUGUGUAGGCGGUUCGGAAAGAAAGAUGUGAAAUCCCACGGGCUCAACCUAGGAACUGCAUAUUCUAACUGCCGAGCUAGAGUAUGUCAGAGGGGGGUAGAAUUCCACGUGUAGCAGUGAAAUGCGUAGAUAUGUGGAGGAAUACCGAUGGCGAAGGCAGCCCCCUGGGAUAAUACUGACGCUCAGACACGAAAGCGUGGGGAGCAAACAGGAUUAGAUACCCUGGUAGUCCACGCCCUAAACGAUGUCAACUAGCUGUUGGGGCCGUUAGGCCUUAGUAGCGCAGCUAACGCGUGAAGUNGACCGCCUGGGGAGUACAGUCGCAAGAUGACAACUCAAA
rnacentral:rRNA from 1 species